rnacentral:rRNA from 1 species
GGUUAAGCGACUAAGCGUACACGGUGGAUGCCCUGGCAGUCAGAGGCGAUGAAGGACGUGCUAAUCUGCGAUAAGCGUCGGUGAGGUGAUAUGAACCGUUAUAACCGGCGAUUUCCGAAUGGGGAAACCCAGUGUGAUUCGUCACACUAUCAUUAACUGAAUCCAUAGGUUAAUGAGGCGAACCGGGGGAACUGAAACAUCUAAGUACCCCGAGGAAAAGAAAUCAACCGAGAUUCCCCCAGUAGCGGCGAGCGAACGGGGAGCAGCCCAGAGCCUGAAUCAGUGUGUGUGUUAGUGGAAGCGUCUGGAAAGGCGCGCGAUACAGGGUGACAGCCCCGUACACAAAAAUGCACAUACUGUGAGCUCGAUGAGUAGGGCGGGACACGUGGUAUCCUGUCUGAAUAUGGGGGGACCAUCCUCCAAGGCUAAAUACUCCUGACUGACCGAUAGUGAACCAGUACCGUGAGGGAAAGGCGAAAAGAACCCCGGCGAGGGGAGUGAAAAAGAACCUGAAACCGUGUACGUACAAGCAGUGGGAGCCUCUUUAUGGGGUGACUGCGUACCUUUUGUAUAAUGGGUCAGCGACUUAUAUUCUGUAGCAAGGUUAACCGAAUAGGGGAGCCGAAGGGAAACCGAGUCUUAACUGGGCGUUAAGUUGCAGGGUAUAGACCCGAAACCCGGUGAUCUAGCCAUGGGCAGGUUGAAGGUUGGGUAACACUAACUGGAGGACCGAACCGACUAAUGUUGAAAAAUUAGCGGAUGACUUGUGGCUGGGGGUGAAAGGCCAAUCAAACCGGGAGAUAGCUGGUUCUCCCCGAAAGCUAUUUAGGUAGCGCCUCGUGAAUUCAUCUCCGGGGGUAGAGCACUGUUUCGGCAAGGGGGUCAUCCCGACUUACCAACCCGAUGCAAACUGCGAAUACCGGAGAAUGUUAUCACGGGAGACACACGGCGGGUGCUAACGUCCGUCGUGAAGAGGGAAACAACCCAGACCGCCAGCUAAGGUCCCAAAGUCAUGGUUAAGUGGGAAACGAUGUGGGAAGGCCCAGACAGCCAGGAUGUUGGCUUAGAAGCAGCCAUCAUUUAAAGAAAGCGUAAUAGCUCACUGGUCGAGUCGGCCUGCGCGGAAGAUGUAACGGGGCUAAACCAUGCACCGAAGCUGCGGCAGCGACACUAUGUGUUGUUGGGUAGGGGAGCGUUCUGUAAGCCUGCGAAGGUGUACUGUGAGGUAUGCUGGAGGUAUCAGAAGUGCGAAUGCUGACAUAAGUAACGAUAAAGCGGGUGAAAAGCCCGCUCGCCGGAAGACCAAGGGUUCCUGUCCAACGUUAAUCGGGGCAGGGUGAGUCGACCCCUAAGGCGAGGCCGAAAGGCGUAGUCGAUGGGAAACAGGUUAAUAUUCCUGUACUUGGUGUUACUGCGAAGGGGGGACGGAGAAGGCUAUGUUGGCCGGGCGACGGUUGUCCCGGUUUAAGCGUGUAGGCUGGUUUUCCAGGCAAAUCCGGAAAAUCAAGGCUGAGGCGUGAUGACGAGGCACUACGGUGCUGAAGCAACAAAUGCCCUGCUUCCAGGAAAAGCCUCUAAGCAUCAGGUAACAUCAAAUCGUACCCCAAACCGACACAGGUGGUCAGGUAGAGAAUACCAAGGCGCUUGAGAGAACUCGGGUGAAGGAACUAGGCAAAAUGGUGCCGUAACUUCGGGAGAAGGCACGCUGAUAUGUAGGUGAAGCGACUUGCUCGUGGAGCUGAAAUCAGUCGAAGAUACCAGCUGGCUGCAACUGUUUAUUAAAAACACAGCACUGUGCAAACACGAAAGUGGACGUAUACGGUGUGACGCCUGCCCGGUGCCGGAAGGUUAAUUGAUGGGGUUAGCGGUAACGCGAAGCUCUUGAUCGAAGCCCCGGUAAACGGCGGCCGUAACUAUAACGGUCCUAAGGUAGCGAAAUUCCUUGUCGGGUAAGUUCCGACCUGCACGAAUGGCGUAAUGAUGGCCAGGCUGUCUCCACCCGAGACUCAGUGAAAUUGAACUCGCUGUGAAGAUGCAGUGUACCCGCGGCAAGACGGAAAGACCCCGUGAACCUUUACUAUAGCUUGACACUGAACAUUGAGCCUUGAUGUGUAGGAUAGGUGGGAGGCUUUGAAGUGUGGACGCCAGUCUGCAUGGAGCCGGCCUUGAAAUACCACCCUUUAAUGUUUGAUGUUCUAACGUUGGCCCCUGAUCGGGGUUGCGGACAGUGUCUGGUGGGUAGUUUGACUGGGGCGGUCUCCUCCUAAAGAGUAACGGAGGAGCACGAAGGUUGGCUAAUCCUGGUCGGACAUCAGGAGGUUAGUGCAAUGGCAUAAGCCAGCUUGACUGCGAGCGUGACGGCGCGAGCAGGUGCGAAAGCAGGUCAUAGUGAUCCGGUGGUUCUGAAUGGAAGGGCCAUCGCUCAACGGAUAAAAGGUACUCCGGGGAUAACAGGCUGAUACCGCCCAAGAGUUCAUAUCGACGGCGGUGUUUGGCACCUCGAUGUCGGCUCAUCACAUCCUGGGGCUGAAGUAGGUCCCAAGGGUAUGGCUGUUCGCCAUUUAAAGUGGUACGCGAGCUGGGUUUAGAACGUCGUGAGACAGUUCGGUCCCUAUCUGCCGUGGGCGCUGGAGAACUGAGGGGGGCUGCUCCUAGUACGAGAGGACCGGAGUGGACGCAUCACUGGUGUUCGGGUUGUCAUGCCAAUGGCACUGCCCGGUAGCUAAAUGCGGAAGAGAUAAGUGCUGAAAGCAUCUAAGCACGAAACUUGCCCCGAGAUGAGUUCUCCCUGACUCCUUGAGAGUCCUGAAGGAACGUUGAAGACGACGACGUUGAUAGGCCGGGUGUGUAAGCGCAGCGAUGCGUUGAGCUAACCGGUACUAAUGAACCGUGAGGCUUAACCUU